CUGAGGAUGGCCAGCAGAGAAACAAGAAAAUGGACUCCCUGGCUGCUGGAGAGUUGAAUGCCAGCCACCAGCCAUGGGUGCCAGAGUUUGUAGCCUAUUGGAGGAAAACACACCAAGGGAAUCUUCAAACUCUUCUUCUCCACUGGCUCCUGCUGUGCUCCUGUCUCCAUCACCUGUAUAAUGCUUCCUGCCAUCCUGCCUUCCCCGUGGAGUACAGCCAUGCUGUCUGCUGCUUACAGCCAAGAUUCUGGAAAGAAAUGUCUCCUUUUUCCUCGUCAUCAACCACUCAUUUAUUCAGCAAGUGUUUCUUUUACACUUGCCUGUGCUGGGCAUGGCAGCAAUGCAGCAGUGAACAAAACCAUCAGCCCUGCUCUCAUGCAGCUUAUAAUCAAGUAGAGAGACAGACAUAAAUGAUUAAUAGAUGCUCCUGUAAUGGUGGUUGUGAGGUGUGCUGCCACAGCCCAGCCACACACGCCAGUUCCCUUC
ensembl:lncRNA IRF1-AS1 IRF1 antisense RNA 1